GUUAGUUACUACGGAUUUUUCCUCAACUUCAUUUCUAGCUGCUUUGAUCAAAUGGUGGCUGAUGGAAUUGAUAUUGUUAGACUAGGAAUAUGUUCGAUCACUUGCACAAAGAAGUUGAGGUCUAGCUGCCUAAUAACUUAUUUUGUUGUAGGAUUUAGAUUCUUGGCGUAUGUGGAAUACAACACAAUCAAUUUGAAUGACUGCAUGGCUUAGAAAUUAGUUCAACAUACUAAAUUAAUUAUAAUGAUUUAAUAAUUUAUGAAUCCCCAAAAUUUUGUUUGAUGACACUGUAUGGGUGAUGCAGAACAAAUAAAGAAGAAUAAAGA
rnacentral:misc_RNA from 1 species